UCUUUGGUAAGAAUGUUUAGUUUACUCUGUGGCAAACUGCCGUUCAGUCAACUCGUUUCAUUUUCAAAGUUUGUUUUAUUUUUUACUUUUCCAUUGUGAUUCACCAUACCAAUAUUCAGAUUGCACCUUCGGCUCAACUCAUCUAGAGUGUCUUUCACUCAGGAUGGAACCAUUACUGGCUGGAAGUGAGCCACCUGGCAAACUUCCAUUUAAGCCAGCAUUAUAGGGAAGCAUUGGAGAUGGGGCCAGUACCCUGAACCAAAAGGUGCCAAAAUCUGAGCAGGAAAGUGAUGCUCAUGACAUAGACUUUGGGCAGCGGAGACCAGGACUUCUGGAUCAGCACUGUCCAGUUAAUGAGAGGAAGGUAGUGCCUAUCGGCUCUCCUACCAGGAAUGAAAAUGACUUAUUUCUGGACCUCAUUAUGCUGCAGAAGAUGGUUGCUGACAAAGAGUCGGAUGCUAACUGCUGGAGCAGAGUUCUCGAGACAGUAGAGCAAUCUCAGAGGGAGAAGACAGAGGCCCAACUCUGUCUGCUUGCCAGGCA